CGGACGGGUGAGUAACGCGUGAGGAACCUGCCUCAGAGUGGGGGAUAACACACCGAAAGGUGUGCUAAUACCGCAUAACAUAUGGGAGGGGCAUCCCUUUCAUAUCAAAGAUUUAUUGCUCUGAGAUGGCCUCGCGUCCAAUUAGCUAGUUGGCGGGGGUAACGGCCCACCAAGGCGACGAUUGGUAGCCGGACUGAGAGGUUGAACGGCCACAUUGGGACUGAGACACGGCCCAGACUCCUACGGGAGGCAGCAG
rnacentral:rRNA from 1 species